rnacentral:misc_RNA from 1 species
UCAAGAGACUCCUCGAGUUGCCAUCCAUUUGAAGGCUGAAAAAGCUCUUCCUUUAUGUACAGUAGGCCACCCAUCCAACCCAGUCUUUAGAAGACAUUAAACCAAGCAUCUACUCACUUCCCCGAACAACGAUUAAAGAAAAUUAUGGAACACCACAGAAUUUGCUCUUUUAAAGCAAGUGCUACUUGUUGACAGACAAUUCUCUAGCAAAAUCAGAAGUCAAAUUCUCCUGUUGCCUUAUUAAAGAGAAUGUCCUUAUUGUUUAUGUGCAUGAUGCCAUCCUUGAGCGUGCAUUUCCACC